CUUCAGUUCACAAAUCACUGAUUUUGCUCCUGAUGCUGAAGCCAGAACAUCUGCUGGGAAAGUCAAUAGUUAUUAAUUAGCUUUUAACUCAGAGAUAGAGAAGACACCCUCUUCUCCCCUCCACCCUUUAAUGAGAAUAAAAUGUGCUUAAGUUUGGUAAGGAACUGCUGGGUUUCCCCUGUGGCACCCGAGUUACUUUGUAAUGUGAUAAGGGGCAAAGAAUUUAAAGCAGAGCUGAAUGGGCUGAGAAGAAGGACGCUUCAGAAACGGUUGCAAGCUGGGAUUGUCCCGCGAAGCCUGGGCUGGACAGCUUCCCACCCCAGGGAUAAAGAGCAUGGCUGAAAAGCCCAUUUUACAGCUGGACACAGUCGGGAAAGGAAGACCUGGCAUGUUCAUCAACUGAGAAGCUGCUGGGAGCUGGAGCAAGCACGGUGGGAGGACAGGUGAUGUGGACCUGAUGGGGGGAGGGAGACUGCUCAGAAAGACCAGAAGGGCUGUGGUCCUGGUAGGCAGGUGGGUUUGUGUUGGAUGGAAGAAGUUGGGAGCAAGCAAAGAGCAGAGGAUGGGCUUCCGGAUGAGGAGAAGACGACUCUCCAGCCUUUGGGUGCCCUCAGUUGGUCAGACCCGGGGCUCAAGUUUAUAGCAUCCUCAUACCAUUGUGCACCGAUGCUCAGGAAAGAGGGAGAAAACGCCUUGAACAAGAAGGUAGCUGGAGGGCUAUAACCUCCAUUAAAUGAAAAACUUGCUUUCUGAAGGCCCCAGGGAAGGAAAUGAGGUCAGUUGACCAUCUGGAUUUUGGGAUGGCUGAACUGGAUGGGAGACGCGGUGAUCCUGCAGAGGUGGGAAAGAAAGGGAGAGGAAGCCAAGGAGCAGCCGGCACAGCGUGGUGAAACGGGACCAAGGGAGCCACGGCAGUGGGAGAAAUUGGAUCCAGAAAGUGGAUGACUUGCUCCCAUCAGGAGGCUGAGAGGAGACGAAAGAGCCAGACUGGAAGGCUGCAAAUGAAAGGGGAGAACUGCAUUCAAUCUGUUUGUCCUGUAUUCGUUUCCUAAAUGUUAAGUGAUCCCACCCAGUACCUAUGGGGGUAACCAGACAAAGGGACGGGAGGCAAAACUUUGGGGGGGAGGCACACAAGGAGGGGCAACUGGAGCGGGUGGAGGAGACCAAAGGAGGAAGCCGGUGUGGGAGCAUGAUUAUGAACCGCUGCCUAUUAGCAGCGUCUCCUCGCUAGAUUUUAUGGCCAGUCACGAGGGCGGGGGGGGGGAAAAGCCUGGAUUGGCAAGGGAGUCUGCUAAUUAGUUAAAAAUGAGCUCUUUAGGAAAUUUCUCACUUUCUUUUUCUCUCUAGCUUGUUGCUUACCCUUUUAACAUUUCACAUUGUAACUCGUUCAAAACUCAUGCAGAGGCUGCAUUUGUAAAAGUAGGUGGUUUUUCUAUGAAAAAUGAGCUUUUUGUGGCCAAGAUUUUUUUUUUUUUGUUUCUUUUUAAACAUUCCCGUUUGCUGGCAAGCAGUGCAAGUUUACCAAUUCCCUGCUACUCCUUUCAAUCUUAAUCCAAAAGGAGGUGUCUAAAGUUUGCCUGGCCCAUAACACCAACAUGUCAGCGGCAUCUGGAUGAUCUCUGCAGUGCAGGCCAGCGAGCUGGAUACAGUCUGCAGCUGGUAGCGGUCCAGUGUGUAUAUACCAGCGAUUCUCGGCCAAGGCAGCCAUGAAGUGUUAGCACUCUUGCACAUGCUUCACACCUACACAUGAUUCACAAGAUAAACCCAGCGACUUUAAAUAGGAAUAGCGUCCACCAUCCUGUUGUGGUCUUGGAGCGAUUUGCAGCAGAAGAAUGGUUCUGAGCUGGCAUCUUCCAUGGGAGGCCACGAGGCUGCGAAUCACCAGUGUAGACCAGUGGGAGCCAACUUUUUUGGCAGGCAUGUCACAAAUGAGUCCUACACCCUCCUGAAAUACCUUUUCCCUUGCCCAAUCUGCUCCUCGGCUUUCUGAUGAAGCUGCUGCUCUGCCUUCUGCUCCCUGCUCUCUCCCACGGCACUGCCUGGCUCUUCCCCAAUCUGCCGCGUGCCACGCGUUGGCCAUGCCGGUAUGGACUAUGCCAUCUUUGUAUCGCAGGAGAUCCCUAGGGGUGACUGCACGUAGCAAAUCGGAUGGGGGCUUGCAACUUCUGUCCUUGUGCAGGGAUGCUAAAGGCUGAGGCCUGUUACUUAUGUGAUGCCCCGUGUAAGCCAUUGCAUUGGCCCUUCUUCGCUCCCCGGUGACCAAAGUUCCUCCUUCAGCGGUUCUGUUUCGGAUGCCGGCGCGUUCCUCAAAGUAGACGGCGUGGAAGAGUUGAAAUAUCCAUGCAACCCUGCAAGUUAAUCUUCAGAGGGUUGUCUGAUUGGUGACACUGUUACCCCCGCCAGCUCUCAGAGAUGCUUGUCCCAAUAGCCCGAGAGGGGAAAUGGAGGGAGGGAAUUACCGGGCUUCACACAAGGGAAAUGAUAUAAUUGGGGCUGUUUGGAUUUGGAAAUUAAAAUAAUUUGGGCUUGCUCGGAAAGGUUCACACAACGUCAGCUUCCAUCAGGCGGAUGAGAAGCAGAGGGGCCCCAGGAGUGAGAGCUCUGACAGGUCUCCCAAACAACGCCCCCUCGGCCCCCGUUCUUGGCUUCAAUUUUCAUUUGGUCUUCCCUGUUUAUGGGUCAGUGGGCUGUCUGGGCUGUCCUAAAGCCCAGUAAAGAAGCUGAAAAAAGACUUUCUGACCCAAAUCUUCUCCCUUAAACCUUCUCUGGACUCGCCAUCCCUGGAGGUGUUCAAAAUGAGGCUGAAGAGCCCCUGGUUGGGGAUGAUUUGGGCGUAGCGGUACCCAUGUUCAACGAUGGGGAUUUCCCACGUUUCCGGGCUUUGCUGGUUGCCCUCUUCUCCCCUUUCUGCUACAUGCAUCGUGGCAUUUUGGAGGCUUUCUCAUUUUGAAGCUUUCCUCAAAGGCAUUGGGUGUCACCGCAGCCAGGGCUGGAGAUUUUGACUGGGGUGUGUGAAUGCUCCUGCAGGAAUUGAAAGCCGGAGGGGUUCCUGGUUAGCAGGUCUUGCCCCUGCACUCGGGAUCAGACCGAUGGAUAUAUAUGGGGUAAGAAAGGAAUUUUACCCUGUGCCCUCUACCUGGGAUCUCUUUGUACAGAAGCAGGAUGUUGGUCGCCAUGAGCCCCCUGCUUUACCUGUGGCAGGUUUGGGGGUUAGGUCUUGUGUUGUGUCAGGGUUGACAGUAGUCUUACAAAGAGGUGAGAGGGUGGCUUUGUCUGGGAUGGUUGGGAUAGGGCUGAUUCUGCCACAAGUGGGUGGUUGGACAUGGGGUGACCUCCCCUCGAGGUCCCUUCCAACCCAACUUCUGUACAAUCCCAGGAUCCUCUCUUGAUUGUGCAUCUCUUUAGCAUUCUCCUUGGCCAUCGCUGCCUUGGCAGGCAUCUGCUCCUGGCUAGGCCCUGAUCUUCAGACCCUGGGAUCCAGAAAGAACAGCUGUUGUCGUCUUCCUUCAAACCCACAGUCGCCAGAGGGUGAGGUUAUGUGCCGUGGCUUCACCAUGCUCCAACGUGAACUGGACUUUCCUGUUGGAGCAAGACUCAAUGCUUAGGACCUGGUCAUUGAAAUCCAAGGCAUAGGAGGAGACCUGAUGUGUGGCAAGGUCCGAUCUCACUUGCUCCUUGCAGUCACUCCUAGAUGUCUUUAAACCUCUACUGUUCUUCCUCUCCACGGGUUACAAUCUGGUUUUCCCCGAGGCCCUUCAUUUUUCCAGGCUACUUACCAUCCAAAUUCCCACCUUAUUUCUCACCCUCCUUAAUAACCUUUGCAUUAUUCCUGUUCCCCAUGGCACUUGCAGCACAACCUAAUUAAGAAUCAUCUGCAACUGCAAUUAAUUUGCUGUUUAUCUUCUAUCUGAUCAUUAAUGAUGGUUGGUGGAAAAAGACUGGGCCUGACAGGGUCCCUGUAACAGCCACUGGACUUUUCCUCCAGCUCAUUAGGGUUGUGCUGCCACUUCUCCUCCUACUCUUCAGUCGGGGAGUCAGUCCUAGCCAAGUCAAUUAAUUUGUUCAAGAAAGGAUUUUUUUUUUUUCUCUGAAGGAUGCUGAAUAAAUGCUGUAGCAAAGACUGUCAAGCUUUCAUCUCUGUUUCCUUCCUCCACUAAAGGAAGCAAUGCUACAUAAAAUAGCAAUCAAGUUUGACUGGCAUGGCAUAUCCUUAAUAAAUCCCCUGCUUCUUUUUUGGUGUUUUUUUUUGUUUUUUUUUUAACUGCUUAAAGCUGUGUUAUUCUCUGGGAAGCAUCUGACAAAUUUAUUUUUUUUUUCUUAAUCCCAGAUUAAGUGGGCUUGGUCUCCUGAUGUUUGAAGCUAAUUUACAGGUGGUCCCUUGUCGGCAUCACUCUUCCUUUCAGAUGCAUUUUUGCAUUUGGUUUGGUAUUUAUGGCCCUUUCCAGCUAGCCUCCCAUAGCCUCUUCAGCACGCUGACUCCUGGGACGCCGACCCCGCUUACACCAGUAGAGAAUCUGGACAAACAAUUUAAGUGAAUAAAUGAUAAUAAUAAUAAAAAAGUGGCAAUACUUCCACAAGUUCAUUACCUCCUUCCCUGAAUAAUUCAGAACGCGAGUUGCCCGGACCAGCUGAUUUGUGUACGUUUGGUUUGUCAAGCAUUCCCUUACGUGCUUUUUAUCAGUAAGUGUAUUUACAAGGUCUUCAUUACUUCCUAAUUGACCCUGCCUCUUCUCUUUAGUUAUCUUCUUAAAGAGCAAUUUGAAAAAAGCAAUUUGGUAACAGCCAUUUUAGAGCCAUUCAUUCAUUCAAGCCCCCGUCUCGUUCAUUAUCAUCCGACUGUCUCUCCAGCAUUUCUGUUCCCCUGAUGCCUUUAAAAGCCCUUCAUAUUCCCUAUAACCUUUUUAUUAGCACUAACUCAUUCUGCUCUAUAGCUCCCUUUGCUUUUCCUGGUAGCUUUCCCCUGGCUCUCUAGUCUGGUUUUGGGUCGUCUUCCCCAGUCUCCCUCGCUUCCAGGCCCUACCCAAGGCAGUCCUUGGUGCAAAUGCAUCAAAACACCUGUAUUUUUUGAUCUGAUGGGGGGUGAAGUGCACUUCUGUCUUUUUUAGGAUGCCCCAGCUUUUUCCUACCUUUAAAAGGUUUUAUAACUCGUUGUGCUACCUCGUGACUAUGAAGCAUAGGUCACCACAACUUGCUUUGUUGAAAUGUUGGAGCUCCAACCCCUUUUCCUGCAACUGGAUAGUCUUACUAAGCGUAUAAAAGCCAGAUUUAAAAAAAAAAAAUAAUAAUAUUGACUUCAAAAUUAAUGGUAUUCAUUCUCGCACUCUCCUUCUCCCUAUCCCUGCUCCCACCCCCCUCCCCAGGUCUUCUGGUUUCAUUGAUUAUUCUCUUGGACGAGAGGGUAAUUAGGAGCCUCCGAUUCACCUUCCCGUGUUGCGUGUUGUGUACAUCUGUCACGCUCUCACUCGUUCGCCGCCACCUCUGAUCUAAACAAUCCUAAUGCCAUCUGUCUCUCUUUCCAUGCCCCUUUUAUUACCCGUCUCCGAAUUCCCCCUCUUUAUACUGUAUCUUUUCUGAGGGGGGGAGGGUGGUGAAUGGGACGAAGCGCCGUACUCCAGGUUGCAGUGUGCCAUUGAUUUAUUCAUAGAUUCAUCGAGUUUAAGAACAGAAGAGACUAUUAGAUCAUCUAGUCUGACCUCCUGUAUAUCACAGGCCAUUAAAUUUCAACCGGUUACUCUUGUAUUGAGCCCUAUAAUUUGUUUGGCUAAAGCAUAUCUUCCAGAAAGGCAGCCAGCCUCAAUUUUGAAGACAGGUUUAUAAAAAGGCAGUACAUAUUUUUCAAUAUUGCUUUCUAUCCCAUGCAUCGCGCCUGCUACAGUACUGUAUGUGGGGUUUGUUUUGUUGGGUUUUUUUUUUUCUUUAGCACUGCUGCACAUUGUAGGGCUGCCGUCUCUCAGAUGUGCACCGUGAUGCCCACAUCUCUUUUCCUGAAGGGUCGCAGUUAAUUUGCAACCUGUCGAUGUACAUGAGUAAUUUAUAAGGGGCAUUAUUUUGCAGUUUACUAUACCGCAUGUUGCUGCCCAGUGCUGUAGCUUUAUUGGAUCCUUUUGCAGUCGCAUGGCUUAUGCCAGCUCAAAGAAACUGCUGUUUAAAUAAUUGCUCCCACAUCACUGCUUAUUUUCCUCUCCAAGGUCACUAACAAGCACCAGAUCUAAUGCAGAACCAUGGCUUUGUCCCAAUGAACUUUUUUUGCCAUGUUGAAAAUUGACCAUUUAUUCCUGUUCUUUGUUGCACAUCAUGAUAUCAGAUAGUUUUUUUUCUCUGCUUUCUGUGUUGCAAAAUUGCCUGCCAUGUAACACAGAAUCAGAGCUGCUUGAAUCGUAUCUUUUGUGAAUAUUUGUUACAAGAUCCCCCCCCUCCCUCAUUCACUGGACUUUUCUGAUCCGAUCCUGAUUUUUGCAAAUGUAGGUUUAAGUGAGGGAAGUUGGCGGGUUUUUUGACCCGGUUAAGGAAAUAUGAGCUUGGUUGCGGGCUCUGCUACUGAAUUUGUUGGUGCAAUCUGCUGGAGUCACUUAAUCUCUCGGCACCUCGGUUCUCUAUCUAUAAAAAUCUAAGAUACUUAAUAUAUUCUUCCUCUCCCCUUUUAGUCUCUCAGCUAUUUAGAUUGAAAGGCCUUUGAGGCAGGUACUCUUUCAUGGUAUAUGUCUGUACAGCCUCCAGCACAACCAGGCCUUUUUGUGCUACAGUACUAAAGAAAAUAACUAUUUUUUGCAUGGUCUACAUACAAUUCAUCCUAUGGGUUACCAUUGAUCCGUUCUCCCUCUGUUUGUAGUCAUGGUGUGUGAUUGGUGAUCGUGGGAUAUCAUUUUCCCUCCCUAAUGAGGUGCCAAAAACCUAGUGAAAGAUGCAUGAAUUUCCAAUCAAAUACAUUGUUUCUCAAACGAGUAGAUGUUGCGGGUUGGAGUCCACUCACAAAUAUCCAGCAGCCAUGUAAAAAUGCCCAAGCAGUGACUGGUAACCGAUGCACACGUCUUGUGUUUGUGGAGUCUUGUUGUGCUUCUUGAAGAAGCAGAGGUCGUCUGCAGCUUCUCCUUUUUGAUUUGCAUUUAUUUUUUAUAUUCUGAGCUUAGGUACAUUGCUGCCAACUUUGUCAUUAAAAGAAUGAGCUCCCCUGGUUUCAUAAAUACGUUUUGGCAUAUACUGCCAGCAACACAGGUUGGCAGCUGCCUCUGUUUUCUCUUCCUCCUGCGUGGGAUGACAACUCAUUUGGACUACCGUGUUUUGGCUGAGACCCUGCACCCCAUCUCUCACUGGUGCUCCCCAGGGUUGCUCCUUCCAUGGCCCUGUUGCACAAAGGCUUUUAUUCCUCUUCUGUUGUUCAUCAUCUUUUUGCAGGACAUCGCCAUCUUCUGCCUAAUUUUUAUUUAUUUAUUUGCCAGGUACAUCGGCUUUUUCCACCGAAGCAAGAGAAUUCCCUCCAUCUCUCCUCCCAUUUAGUCAAAAGGCCAGCUAACAGGCCUUGCUAGCUCCUAACCUGAGGCCCUAUAGCUGUCUCCAAGCGCAGACCAUCUACUGCUGCAGCUUGUCGCCUCUCAUCAUCGUCCAUUCGCAACGCUAGCGCACCGGUUGGCUGAGCUCCAGUGCCGCUCUUCACUUGCACUUGGUACUGAGGUUGAAGAAGAUGCUUGCGUCUAGCCCUACUCCAAUUGUGUUUUGGAGCCACAUAAAAUAUUUUUAACUGUUUGUAAAUUUGAGGGGAUUAAGCUCCGUGUCUGAGACGAGGAACGGACGUGCGAAGCAGAGACCCGGAGCACGAGAAGGUUUCGGAGGCUGGCAUUGCAAGUGCAUCCAACGGGUCUACUGAGAAGAGGAUGAUAAAUCUGUUUUGGCUGCUGGGAGCUGCAGAGCCGGUUUUCACGCUGGCUCUCGUCACUGUAGUAUUGGAAACAUCCAUAAGCGAUGGAAAAUCCUAACCGUGAGAUCUUGACUUCUUGCAGAAUGAAAGGGCAGCUGAGCCUGGGCGAGGAUCUGUUAAUGAUGAUCCAGCAGGGCCCUUUUCAAAGUUGUCCCCUCUUUGAGCAUCUCCGGCCUGACUGAUCCUGGUGAAGCUGAUGGGUUUUUACCGUGGGGGCCAGCCCUUUCUUCUCUUGCUGCCAUCCCUCUGUCUCCGAGUGUAAGCCCCGGGGGGCACCAGGCUCAGGCUCUUCUGCGCACCUCCAGCACCUGGGACUGAGCUUUGCUCUUUCAAGAAGCAAUACAAGGUGGAUUCAAGUGACUUGUUUUGAACAGGCCGUGGCACGGACUGUCUGGGCAGUGCAGGUUUUUAGGUAAGCCGCUCCCUCUCGAGAAGCACUAGGAGUUGGCAAAAGGCUUGGCUUUGUUUUCAGCUGAAGCCCGAGGACUAUAUGGGUGGAGUGGGUCUUGUUCAACCACUUCCCAAGUGUUAUUCUUCUGGCAGGGAGGUGACUGUUUGGUGGGAAGUCCUCCUCGAAGCUGCCCAACAGUUCUCUGUCCCAGGUGGAGCGAGAAUAACAGGGAGGCCUGGCUGGUAUAGCACCUUCUCCAUGUGGUCCAAGCUCCUCUUCCUGGGGGCACAUCACAACCAGUGCCCUUGUGAGCCCUCGCUGUGCCCCCAGCCCUCCUCUCUGCCUGCUUCCCAUCAGCACCAGCAUGGACAGAGCAUUUGCUAGUCACCUGCAGCUGCAGAAGAAACUCCGAAAGUGUCCCCAGGACCUACCAAAAUGGAAGUUGUUGACUAGGAAAGCUCUGUGCACACCUAGGGCACUAUAGGAGUCAUUAAUUAUGAGUAGGCAGGUCAGUUUGAGUCACCUUCCCUUUUUAGCCCAGCCACCUUGGAGGGGCCCCUUAGGCAUCCUAAUUGCUAACAGGAGCCUUCCCGUGGGUGGGAAUUGCCCAGGGGGAUUGCAAGGGGGGUGGCGUCUGUAUUCCUCAGCCCAGCCCGCAGGCUCCUCCUCCCUCCAAACUCUCAUCCGAGCAGGAGAUGUCCCUGGGGGGGAUCUGUUGCCAUGUUUGGCUUUGUCAUCUGAUUUCUGGAUUUAUUGCUUCCAGGAUUCUGUGGGUUUGUUAAUUAAAGGAAAGACGUCUGGGUUAUCUGUAUUUCCAUCUCUCCAGCCUCCCCCGGGUGCAUCCCCAAGCAGCCUUGGCUGCCUCCAGAUGAAGCAGCCCUUUGCUUUUUGAGCAAGUGAAGCUGUAGAGCCCAGCUGGGCUCGGUAUGUGGAGAGCCCACCUGGAGCGGAGUUGGUCUUGUUGAGCAUCUUCUUAUGGGAAGCCCAACUCAUCAUAAGUUCAGCAGCUUCCUUCUCUUGUCAUGGGUCAUAGGUAUGGGAGACAUGGCAUUGGGGUGUCACCACCUCCUUGGGGCAUAGUAAAGCCAUUCACUUCUCUGGGCAGCAGUGUUGAAAUGCGGCAUGCUGCUGUGGGCACAGUGCCUCCUGGACCAUAUAAAUGUGACUAUUCCUGGUUAAGUAGUCCACCCCCAUCACUGCACUGCUCCCGGUGCAGGAGACGGGGACCAUGGGGCAGGGCAGUGUGAUCUGGCCCGGUCCUGCCUGUAGGACUCUAGAGAGAUGGGCUGUAGGACAGGGGAUGUCGAGCUCUUCUGGAUGAAUGGCACGGGGCCAACCUCACAGGCUGGAUCAUGCCCAUGGAUGCUCAGAACAAAAGUUAAUUGGGGGACAAGCUAUAAUGCCCAUCUCCCAGGAGCCAUGGGUGUGCCCUUCUCUCAUCCUGGCACCCCAGUCCUGAGAGAGUUAGACCUCCGUCGAUGUGGGUAUCCUGCAAGGCACCGGUGUAGCUUAGAAUAAAUAAGGAAGGGCCUUUCUGCCUUUGCUUCCCUUGUGUAGAAGGGGUGCCCUAGGGAGAAUGUCUGGGGGGCACGAAGGAAGCAGGGUGGCAAGGGGCAGGCAGGAGAGGGAGCAGGAAGACGAGAGUGGGGCAUGUGGCAUCCCUUCGUCCCAUCCCCACUCAUGAGACAGUGCCAGGAUAGUUGCAGCUCUCUUCAGAGGGAAGAGCCCCAAGACUCGGCCCCCGGUGCUAGUCCCUUCUCCCUCCUAGUUAUCAGUGUCUUUGUCUUCCACGCUUUUAUCCUGUCUCAUCCUCGCUGUGUGCAAUCCAGCCCCAAGUCCCACACCCUGGGCAUAACCCUCCCUGACUCCAUCUAUGCCAGCCUGGUGUCCCCUUCCCGGGAAUUGGCUUUCCCAAUUAGUGAAAACUGCUCUUCAACCCUGACCAAACUCAGGGUCUCGCGAGGCUGCUGUGCCCUGGCCCUGGGCACGUAGCUGGUGGAUCACGUGAGCGAGAGAUCGCGGGGAAAGGAGGGUCGGGUCCCUGUGGAUCACUUGCCCACCGGGCACCCGCUGGCUGCUCUAAGCCUUCGACCACCGCUUUGUGGAUACAAAGCUCUUGGGGCUGCUGAAUGAAGUUGUCCCGAGGUGUCUGCGGAUAACAAUGCCUUCUUGAUCAGCCAGAUGUUAUUGGGGUUAGACGCACGGAGGGUGAAUGGCUCUCUGUGGGGAAGUAGGGAGAGGAUUGAGCUCUGCGGAGGUGGCUUUUGGGGGGGAUGCAAGCAUGCUCUGGCCUCCUGCUCGGUCGGGGCUGUGCCGGCCUUUUCUCAGCGGUUCCUCGAUCCCUCCGGGCAGAGGCUGGGAGGGCUCCUGACAGCAUAGCUAGGGUUUUCACCACCAGUCUCUCAACUCGGCAACCACCUGGACCGGCAAGACCUUCUCAGUUCCCCCUUUCCCCCCCACCCCAGAAACCACCUGCUUUGCAAGCAGAGAACAAAGGAGCUGGCAAACAACUGACAGGCAGAGCCGCCCCUCAACUGGACACCGUUGGAUCAUCUCCCGUCGUCCGAGCUGAUGUUUUCCUCCUGGCUCGGGCUGGGAGACAUGAGCCAACGAUUAGAGGAUAUUCCAAACAUAUGGAGCUGCUGCGGGCGGCUGCAGGAAUGCACAGCAGGAGACGAUGGAGGGGAUGGAGAUAGGAGGAUGUAGGGCAUGUGAGAGACGAGGAGAAUUCAAUUUGCAGCGGUAUGUAAAUACGGGAUGAGACGCUGGCUGCGGAGAGCAGUUUUCAUCCUCGUGCGGCGCUCGGAGGAAGGCGAAAGAAGAGCCCCCCUCCGCUGAAAAGGCUGUGGUGGGUUCUCCAUCCCUCUUCAAUCAGCAGGAGAGGGGACUCAGCUCCUCCCCGCAGCAGCAAAUCCCAGUUGUGCUGCUCCAGGGAAGUUGGGGCAGGGCAAAAAGUGUCCAUCGUUUCCCACAAUUCGUUUAACUCCUUUGGAGACGAGCCCUGUCUGAGCACUUGCUGGAGGAUGGGGGUGAUGGUCAGGUGGGGACUGGGGAACACUGGGUGGACAUAACCAUUUAUUACAAGUACUUAUUUCAUUUACGCUCCUGGGUGUUGCUGUUUAUGUGAAAACUCCCAGGUCAGCGGACAAAUCCUUUUAAAAUAAAUCUUUAAUUCCUUAAGCAACAGAAGCCAGGUGGGGGGCAGUGAAAUAUUGCCUUUUCUAGAAUUUGACAGGUAGAGAGCCUUUUUGAAGAAGGAAAAUCACUGACUUGAGACAGACCCCCUCUAAUGAGUACAUACCUGCUACAGGGAUGUGGGUUGUAGCCGUGUUGGUCUAAGGACAGAGAAAUUUGUGUGCCUUUGGGUAGAUCCAAUAUCUUUUAUUAGACCAACUCAAAUGGCUGGAAAAAUUCUUCUUUGCAAGCUUUCGGUAUAAAUCCCCUUCGUCAGGCUGAGGGCUACUAGGCGUAAUGCCGAGAGCCACUGCUAAUGCACGCUGCGCUUUCAUCCGGCCUUAGACGGCUGUUUUCUGCCUCAUUUAAUACCAUCCUUUUAAUAAUAAGAAUGGAUGCAAAAGCCAGUCGCUCUGGUACCAACUGUUCCUGGAUCCUCCACCUGAACCAAGAGCACAAAGUGCUUUUUAGAUUUGAACUGCCCCUCGUUCUCAGCAGGAGUUAACUCUGAAGCCUAGUGAUGGCAAUUUUAAAUAUUCCCCCAUAACUGUUUGUUGUCAUUUUUAACAGCUAUUUCCUACUAAUGAGCUUCAUCUAGCGUGCUUGGAUACUUCUGUAAGGACAGUCCCCCGGGACAUGGUUGCAAAUACUAAAAAAAAUGCAAGCCUUCUGCCAAAUAUUGAGUUUUAAGCGCUUUUUUAUUUUCUUUUGGUCUUUAGCACGGGAGCCCCGAGGACAGGAGAAGAGCAGAAAUGGUGCUAGCAAGAGUGGGGAGUGAUCUGAGGGGGAUGAAAGCUGAAAAGAGAGAUAAGAGAAAUUUUCUGAAAAAGGGAAGUGCAAGUGAAGUAAAAGCACCGCUUCUCCAUGGGCGGGCACAUGCUGUUGUUUGGUUUUUAAUUUAAAACUUCUGGAAAAUUGGAAUAAUGAAGGGAACCAUUUGUUGGGGCUUUUGCAGAGAUGCCGUCUGCAUUCAUUCUAAAAAAAAUCCCACAAAUUAGCCAAAAUUUUCUGUCCGGACAGCUGGAGGCAGGAAUUCAGGAAACUUCCCCUUAUAACAAGUUCUCAGCAGUUCUGCAGACCAGCACUUUCUACAGCCGUGGGGGAGUUUGGUGGUGCCUCGAUCCCCUCGGAGGGGGAUUAACCACCGCAGAGAGCAACGCCAUCACCGCGAAGCUGUAUUCAGGCCUGCAGCCCAUCAGCUUCCCUCCCAGUUUCAGUGACCAGGGCCAUGCUGAACUCCCCCCCCACACCCCUGGUUUUUUUUAUCCAGCUGGGGUGCCACCCGCUGAGGCCGAAGCUGAUAUUGCAGAUGGGAAGUGGAGGCAGAAGAAAACACAGCAAUGGCCAGAUGGGUGAGUAGAAGGUCGGGGUUGGGAAGAGGUGAUGGGAGCAGAGAAGUGAGCCAAGACCCUGCGAGCAGCUGAGGACAGGGCUGCUGCAAAGCGGAGCCCGGUGGGGAGCAGCAAGGAGCGGAGCUGUGUGUGAGGCCAUUGUCGGAGACCCGAACCGCAGGCAAUGUCCCAGCCAGAGCUCUGCGAGGAACUUCCUCCACUUUCCAUCCAUCUUUCAGCAGAGUCCCCAAAUGCUCUCUCCUAAAGAAACGAGUCUUGCCAGGUUCCCGGCCCACGUGGGUUAGUUAUGCCAGGCUCCGGGGCAGCGAGAGCCUCUGGUACUUGCAGUCGUGCUCCUUUCAGACGCCUUGCAUUCUUUCCAAACACACUUCCCUUUGUGAGCUGCAGCGAGCUCUGUUAUUCAAUAGCGUGGGCCUCACCCAGAGGAUACCCUUGCUCCUCUUGGCCCCUGUAAGGUGAUGCCUGCUUGCCUCUCUGCCAGUGAUUGUACCCUGAGCCCCUGAACGUGUUCCAGACCUCCUCCUGCCGACCGGCGCAGACUCUGCCCCUCCGAGGGUUACCUCACCGCUCUGCUCGACUCUGAAAACAUUCCCAAGCUUCAAACCUGUCGUUUUUCGGUGUGCUGCAGCACUUUGGGGGCCUGGGGGGUGGGAACUGCAAUUGCUGCUGGCACAAAGUCCACGUUUUUGCUUUUGUCAAGUCCUUUCCCCAUCUGUCUACACCUUGCAGAGCUCUCGGGCUGUUGCUGUCUGUUCCUUCAGGACACCCUGUGUUUAACCUCAUGUGGUCUCUGUGGCUCCAAUGUCUGCCUUCCCCACGUGGUGAGAGAUCCUGCACGGCACAAUUGUGCAGUGCAAAUACCUUCCAGCCCCAAGGCAGGUGGGCUUCCAAAGGGACCCCAGAGCCUUUCCAGAGACCAAAUGUGGGUUUCCUCUCUCUGUUGCCUUGAUUCCCCCACUUCCAGAGUGCCUAAAAGCAGCACAGCCCCUUCUCCGUGUGUUAGCUUGAGGAAAGAUCCAUGCAAAUAAAGCAGAAGGCCCAGCAUCUCCUGCCUGACCUGCAUUUUCAUGUCAGGGAAGCCAUCACACACCCGGUCAAGGCGGAGGAGCUUCGGAGGCUGCCUGCAUAAUCCCGAGAGUACAUGCAUACUGUUUUGCAUGAGCCUUUAGAGUCACCUGAAGCGCAGGAUUGAACCAGGGUCUGGGAUGGAGCUCGUAUCACAAGAGGUCUUCAGUAUGAAACGGGUCUCUGGAUUGCAAGCUUUCUGGGCCAGGGAAAUUGUCUUUGCAUGUCACUGUGGAAAGAACCUAGUCAUCGUCGGCAGUCCCUCCAAGUCGAGGCUGACAUCUGUCAGGCUUGAUGGGUCCUCAGGCGACUGAGGAGCCUGAUUCUGGAUGCCCAUAUUCUUUGGUGAUGGGGGCAUGUUGCGCGGGGGAGUGGGAUUCGCAGCCCCAGGUUGGUCUCCUUCUCCUUCCUCUGCCACCGCCGUUCCACCUCAGUAUUGAGUUGUUGGGCCUCAAAGUGGUGCACACCUUGGUGGACCAGGUGGUGCCACACCGAACAGUCAUCAGCUUGUUCCUCCCAGCCACUGGUAUCGAUGCCUCCAUACUUGAGGGCAACCUUGAACAUGUCUUUGUACCAUUUCCUUUGGCCGCCCUUUGAGCGUUGGCCAACGGAGAGCUGGGAACAGCGAAUCUAGCAAGGGAGGCAGUUCUUGGACAUCCAGAUGCAGUGGCUUGUCCAUCGGACUUGAUUUCUCAAGAGCAAGGCUUCAAUGCUGGUGAACGCAGCUUCGUGGAGGACGCUCGCGCUGGUCCGGCGGUCCUCCCACUUGAUCCCUAGGAUUUGAUGCAAGCACCGCUGGUGAAAGUUCUUGAGGGUCCUAAUGUGGCAUUGGCAGAUGGUCCAGGUUUCACCACAGUAGAGGAGGGUGGUCUGCACGACAGCCUCGUAAACCAGCCUUCAUCGACUGUGGAAAGUACCUACAGCCAUCGCCUUGAUGGCAAACAUAAACCUUCUGCUGCUCGGGAGAAGCCAAAAGAGCGCAGAGGACUCAUGCAGGGAACGGGAGAGAGCCGACGCUGAGGCCCCUUUCCUUGAUAAUAUUCCAACAAAGCCUUAUUGGAACCACUGGGAACGACUACAGGUCGGACAUGGUGGAAGGACCUUCAAAGGACAGAUUCAUGGCGGUGGGCCAAAGCUGUGACUGAAAAGGAAGAGCUUUUGAUGGGAAAGCCCUGAAUGGGUCCCUGAGAAAUGGAAAUCUCUUGGCUGAGAAGCAAGGCGUGCGAGGGGGAGGGGGGCCAGCCUGCCCACCACAACUGCUUUCUAGCACGAGCCCGGCACCAAGUACACGUAGUGCCUGACUUAAACCCCCGGAGCAGCACACCAUCCUGAUAAGACACGAGGGCUUUCUGAGGUGUUGGUGGUAGAAGUUUUGCCUUGAGCAUUUUUCUUCCAUGUAUAUUUUGAAGCUGAAGUUAUAAAUAAUAAAGAUGCAUAUGGAAUUUGAAUAUGAAUGAUAAGAACAGCUGUGUGUAUCCAUUAUGAAUGAACAUAAACAGAAAUGUAUAAACUGAGA